UACGUAGGGUGCAAGCGUUGUCCGGAAUUACUGGGCGUAAAGGGCUCGUAGGUGGCCAACUAAGUCGGACGUGAAAUCCCUCAGCUUAACUGGGGAACUGCGUCCGAUACUGGAUGGCUUGAGUUUGGGAGAGGGAUGCGGAAUUCCAGGUGUAGCGGUGAAAUGCGUAGAUAUCUGGAGGAACACCGGUGGCGAAGGCGGCAUCCUGGACCAACACUGACACUGAGGAGCGAAAGCCAGGGGAGCAAACGGG
rnacentral:rRNA from 1 species